AUGAUAACCUGUUUUUAUGUAGAGGCAGAAAACAGCAAAAAUAAAAAUGUACGAGCAGACCUCUGUUCUUCAAAAAAGUUAAUGGAUCUGUUGCCUAAAAGAGAACUUCAUGGUCAGAAUCCUGUUGUAACUCCAUGCAAUAAACAGUUCCUGAGUCAAUUUGAAAUGCAGUCCAGGAAAACUACACAGUCAGGACAAAUGUCUGGGGAAGGUAAAGCUGGUCCUCCAGGAUGCAGUUCAUGUGCAGCAUUUCCACAAGGUGGUAGAGGACAGGGCUUUUUCUAGGGACUGUUCCCGGUGGGGACAGAUUUCUACAGCCAGCAGGACUAGGCGGGCUACCCCUACCUUUUCCAGCUGGACAGGCUACACCACAUCCACCCUUAGGUCCACCAGGUCCUCUACCUCCUGGUCAGGUUCUGCUUCCUCCUCUGGCUGGGCCUCCUAAUGGAGGAGAUCACCCUCUACCACCAGUUCUUUUUCCUGGACAACUUUUGAGCAGCCCCUGUUGGGUCCACUUUCUCCUGGCCCUCCACCUCUAGUUCCAGGCUAUGGCUCUCCUCCUGGUCCACCACCUCCACAAUAGGGACCAUCUUCACCUCCAGGCCCUUUUCCACCUUGCCCACCUGGUCCAGUUGGGCCACUCGUUACACUUUCUUCUCCUCCGCAUCUUCCUGGACCACCUCCAGGUGCCCCAUGGCCAGCUCCACAUGUGAACCCAGCUUUCUUUCUUCCAUCAACUAAUACUGGCAUGCCAACAUCAGAUAGCUGAGCUCCACCACCAACAGAUCCAUAUGACCGACCUCCACCAUAUGAUGGGGUGACCAUGGGCCCCUGGGAAGGGAAAUAUAUACUGCAAGAAUACCAUUGAGUGAAGCUGAGUUUGAGGAAAUCAUGAAUAGAAAUAGGGCAAUCUUAAGCAGUGCUAUUUCAAGAGCUGUGUCUGAUGCCAAUGCUGGUGAUUAUGGGAGUUCUAUUGAGACACUGGUAACCGUAAAUUCCUUAAUUAAACAAUCCAAAGUAUCUGCUGAUGAUCAUUACAACGUUCUUAUUAGCUCUUUGCAAGAUGGCCUUCAUGGAACUGAGUUCAAGUCAUAUGGUUCUGGAUCAAGAAGACAUGAGAGAUCAAGAAAGUGGGACAAUAGUAAAUCACAAGAAAAGAAACGGCGUCAUAAAUCCCGCAGUAGAGAUCGUCAUGACGAUUAUCAUAGAGCGAGAAGCAGAGAACGAGAGAGCACUGGAUCCUGCCCAAGACCGUGA